AACACAUCUUGAAGCCGGAAAAGCCUGAUUCUUCAUUUUUGACUCGCUUGGGGACAAAUUCAGAGAAGCUGAAGCCAGGUGAGAAAGUCUCCUGAGGCACAGAGAGGUUUGGCAACUCACCCAGGAUCACACAGCUAAUAAUUGAUGCACCGAAUUUGAGUUCAGCAGUCCAGUUCUACAGUUCUGGCUCCAAAAUAUCUUUUAAAUUCUAGUGUCUUCCUUAGGAAUUUUGGAGAGAAAAUUUCUGUGUAGGAUCUGGUCCCUCACAAGUGGAAUUCAGAACCUAACUAACACGGUGAUGGGUCUUUUCUCUUUUUCUUUAGAUAGGUGGAUACGCUUUCAUAGGGUUGGAUAUGGGUGUAACUAUGUAUAUGUGUGUUUUUUCAGUCAGUAAUGACUGAUGGUCAAGAAUGUCCGACCUCUACAUCUCUCUUUUUUUCAUUCAUUCAACUCUCAGAAUACGUCAGUUUAACCCAAUGUAAUGAACUCGCCCCUGUCGAUGGACCUCUAGAUUGUGUCUCUGUAUAAUAUACAUAAUGUUCACGUGAACAGCUUUGUGUAUCUCAAGAACAAAUCCCCUAAAGCUCAUACCUUAAAAAUAAACGAAACCAGACAGCCAUGUGAA